AGCAGCUUCAUUGCCUUCUUCUUCUUCUUCUUCUUCUUCUUCUUCUUCAGUGUCACUAUUACAUUGUUAAACAGCGAUGAUGAUGAUGCGGCCGUCAGGGAUGACAACGAGUACCAUGAUGCUGUAGGCUUGAGUUUUGUUGACUGUGGUGGUGGUGGUGGCAUUAUCCAUGGAUGGUUACAUAUUGAUGUGGGACGAAUUAUUUCAAAAUAUUCGUGAGGCUUUAUGUGUCUAGACCUAACAAAAUCGCAAACUUCAACUAGAAGCGAUGAAUUAUUGAACACAGGCGCCAGUUUAACAUAACUUUUUUCAAAAAUUUUAAUGUUAGUGUUUCACGCACAGUUGUUUUAUACAUAAUUUUUACUACCCGUUCUAACCACAAUCUUUGUAAAUAUUCUAAUAAAAUGUUCGGCGUGAUAAUAUGACCGUAUAUGUUUGAUGUUUCAAAAGAUUGUAAUUUAAACUUGUUUAAAAGUGUAAUUCCACAAAUUUGUUUUAAGCUCCUAGGUUGAUUUAAAAAAAUGAAUUUCGUAUAACCUGCACGUUCUUUUACAAAUUCAAAAUCUGUAGUAUAUGGCAGUAGCACAAUUUCCUCUUCUUGAUUUAUUUCGAUUGUUUGUCUAUGACCAUCAAUUGCAGAUAGAGUUAAUAAUACUUCAGCACCAUUCUCUGACAUUUUUAUAAACACUUCAACACACCCCACACACACGCAAAUAUAGAAGUCGUUAGAAGAGUUAAUUAUAUACUCUAACGCUUAUCAAUUUUUAUGUCACCGUGGUUUUCUGUUGACGCAAACGGAUGUCGCGGUUUCAUGUUAUCGCAAACGGAUGUCGCGGUUUUCUGUUGACGUCGGCGCGCGGUUUCAUGUUGACGUGCGAGGAUUCGAGAAAUUUGACAUUCAUCAAGGAAUGGUGCUGAGAAUAUAAAAUGUGAAAAUAUGGUCAGGUUAUUAGUUUUGAAGAUCUACUUUGAUUGUAAUCAGUCGUGUAAAUUACAAAAAAAUAAAUAAUAUGGAUUUCAACAAAAUUUUGAAGAACAUUAAUUCUGCCGGCAUGCUCCAAGAAAGGAAAGUUUUGAAAAUUGAGGAAAUGGAAAUUGGGAAACUAUAUACAAUUAAAAAACACAAAUCAAUAAUGAACCAUUAUGGAAGAGGAAUUGUCUGCGAGCUUGAGGAGGAUGGUAAUGUUUCCAUAUUUCUACCUCAACGAAUGGUGCGGGAAAUCGAUGAUGAUGAUGAUGAUGAUGCUCUUACAAUUUUGAAUGGUAAAUAUAAAAGAAUGGGGAUUGUUGUGCAUGGUUUACAUAAUGAUCUUCCAAAAAAAUUCAACUAGUACCAGUCGACUAGGAACGAGGAAGAGGUGGGGGAGGUUUCAAGUUUACAUUAAUUAUGGUUGCAUCGUAAUAAUAUAUGGCUUUCAAUCGUUUGUGUGAAAUUGAAAAUUACUGGGAUAAUGGGUAAAUCUUUAAAAUUAAGGUUGCACGAAUUAUGUGAAGCGCCGUUGAAGUUUCCGGUUCGAUAACAAUGUUCCAUAACUUUCCCAUCAUCAUCGUCAGUAGUUAAACAAGGAGAGUUCUGGCACAAUGUAAAUCUCCAUAAGCGCAAUGCUAAAGUAUGGGUUCAUUUCAGUGACAAAAACUCACUUUUUGGAUCGGUCUUGAUAGCGGUGUUUUUUUCGAGGUUUGAGGGGUUGUAUAUGUGUGUAGGGGUAGUGGAUGUGUUUUAGGGGGGUUGUGUGUUAAGGGGUAGUAGGUAAAAACAAAUUUCUAAUUUUAGAAUCAUGCUUAGUAACACAAAAGCGGCGUACUUGAUUGCGGUGUUUUUUUCGGGGUUGUAUAUGUGUGUAGGGGUAGUAGAUGUCUUUUAGGGGGGUUGUAGAUAAGGGGUAGGUAGGUAAAAACAAAUUUCUAAUUUUAGAAUCAUGCUUAGUAACACAAGCGGCGUACUUCAUAAAAUGUAUAACUUAGUAGUAGUCGUUUGCGGUUGAGAUUUAUUUUUAGAUGUUAUCUUAGUAACAUAGCGUUAGAAAUAAAACGUCUUGCGGUUCUGUUGAUAAGACAAACACAUGUGUUUGUGGUUUACUAUAAUCCUUCAAUGGUUGUAGUGUUAUCGAUGUAGUACAAUAUUUGUUGCAAGUUUUCGAUACAGAUUUCGAGAUUGUGGUCUACAGAUGGAAAAAUUUACAAUGUUGCUGAAGCAAAUAUUUAUAACAUUGAGGUUUUACAACAGAAAAAUAAAACGUUAUCAAAAUGAAAUAGGUAUUAAGAAAAAAUGUCAACUAUAAACGAAAUUACUGUGCCUAUGAAUAAAUGCGAGUGGCUCUUUUCAGUGAUUUGUCGGUAUGUACCAUCGGGAUAUACAGUGCUUUGCCCAUGUGCACAUAAUCUAGUCUACGAUGAGACCGAGCACAAUUUAUUGUUCUUAGAGCCAUUUUUUGGGGAUCAUUUUAUUUGGGUGUUUGAGACAAAAUGCAGGAGCUCAACAACAAUUUUUUGCAGGGUAGGACCGUAAGUAAGGUAACAAUUUUUUUGUUUCAAUAAUUAUGUUUGCUUUUAUUAUUACAGACGACGUAUGUCCACCCCAAGAAAUUGUUUUUGCUAAAUUGGAGGUUUUACCUACUGUUAUUUAAUAAAAAAUAUAUUUGAGUUAUCUUUUUUUAUUUUGUGACAUAUGUAUGUAUAUGAGACCUGUUUUAUUAUUACAGACGACGUAUGU